CCUACGGGUGGCAGCAGUGGGGAAUCUUCCGCAAUGGGCGCAAGCCUGACGGAGCAAUGCCGCGUGCACGAAGAAGGUCUUCUGAUUGUAAAGUUCUGUCCUUAUCGAAGAGAGAGUAUGUAGUUAAAAAUGCUCUACUAGGACGUUAGAUGAAGAGGACGCCCCGGCUACCUACUGGCCAGCAGCCGCGUGAAUACGGAGGGGGCGAUCGUUGUCCGGAUUCACUGGGCGGAAAGGGCGCGUAGGCGGUAAUAUAAGUUAGAUGUGAACGGUGGGGGCUCAACCCCUAGAGUGCAACUGAUACUGGAGAACUUGAGUGUGAGAGAGGGAAGCGGAAUUCCUAGUGUAGCGGUGAAAUGCGUAGAUAUUAGGAGGAACACCAGUGGCGAAGGCGGCUUGCUGGCUCAUAACUGACGCUGAGGCGCGAAAGCGUGGGGAGCAAACAGGAUUAGAUACCCGAGUAGUC
rnacentral:rRNA from 1 species